CCUCUGUAUCCUGAAUGUGAGGCUUUUAUUUUGAACGCUUGCAAGAAAUUAGUUUUUUAUCCACUUGGAGCAUUUUGUUUUGAAGCAGAUCCGGCUGCCCGUUGCUGUGUGUGUGUGUGUGUGUGUGUGUGUGUCAGCUGUUGAGGUCAGAUUGUGUGAGGAGGCGGGAUGAGGCUCAGUGUGUGUGUGAUCGCAGCCUGAUUAACACACACGGUCCUCAGCCUCCUCUUGAACACACACACACACUCCGUGACUUUUCGGCUCUCCAUCAUGGACCUGGACCCCGCCGUCAUCAUCCCCGCCAUCCUCUUCACCGUCGUUGCCAUUUAUUUCGCUACGUCGCUCCUCAGCAGGAAGCCCGACGCCUCCUCCUCGUCUGCCGGGAGCAAGAAGUCCAAACUCGGGUACAGAGACGACCUUCCUCCGCAAGGAGCUCUGGAAGAAGAGCCCGAAGCCUCCCUGCGACCAGAGCCCCCAGCUCCGGCUGUGGAGGACAUAGGAGCCGCCGAGAAGAUCCAGGCUGUCCCAGAACCACAACAUGUCCCUGAACCAGUGAAGAUACCAGAAGCUGAGCCAGAAGCAGCAGAAGAUCCAGAGGACAGAGAAGCAGUCACAGCACCAGAACCUGUGGCACAACCAAAAAAAGUGCCAGAGACAAGAGCAGAACGACCACCGGCGCCAGAAGCAGUCCCUGAACCAACAAAAGAGCCAAAGUCUGUUCCAGAACCAGUCACAGUAUCAGAACUUGUCUCUGAAGCUGUGUCAGGCCCAGAACCUGUUCUUGAACCAGAUGAAGCACAAGAAGCAGCACCAGUGUCUGAACCCAUACCAGGCUUGGUAUCAGGCCCAGAACAAGCUGCAGAACCUACCCCAGAGUCCAAACCUGUAGCAGAGCCCUUAUCAGAACCAGCCAGGUCCCCUGAACUCAUAUCUGAACCCAAAACUGUCCCAGAACCUGUUACUGAUCCAGAGCCUGUGCUCGUGUCUGAAGUGGCAGCCCAGAAGCCCGCGACUGAACCUGAAGAACUGCUUGAGCAGAUGCCCGGACCCAAUGAAGGUCUGACAGAACCAUCGCGUGAGCGGGAACCCGAACCAGAGACCGUCCUGGAUGACGAUGUGGCUGCAGCUGCUGAUGUGCUGAACUUCACCCCGGGAAUGAAACAGAGUAAGGUGGCGGUGCUGAUGACCCAGGAGGACAUGGAGGAGGAGCAGAGGAUAGAGCUCACGUCUGAUUUUACCUCUCUGUAAUCAGCCUCAGCAGACUCGUGCUAGUGUGCUAGGAAGGAGAUGGUAAGGAGAAUAUCCCCUCCCUAAACCCUCAGCCCUGCCCGUCCUUAAUCACCCCUAACGCUGCAGCACAGAUAGACUGACGCCAACAUUCACAAGCCGACAGCAGCUGCAGGAGAGACGUCCCUCAUCUGAAGUCUGGGUUUCUUCAGAAGAACAAACAUGUUGAUAAAAGGAAUUAAAUGUGCUGGAGGAACAUAAUUAAAGAACAUCUGAAAUAACUGCAAUGAUUUGAUUAUUUGAUUCAAUCUGCAAAAUGACAAUAAAAUAAACUCUGAGAAUCAGCUUUCGUGGAACCACAGAAGCAGUCAUGUGAUUCGUUUCAGC
ensembl:lncRNA